rnacentral:lncRNA from 1 species
GAUUUUCAGAAUUUUCUCAAUAACUACCUCUCACUCUUUGAUUUUCUAUUUUUUUUCUCUUUUUUUUUCUUUUUUGAUUUUCUUUCCCUAUUCUAGAAGCUGGUCAACAUGCAAGCCGAAACAAACAGAUGCGCAAGUAGCACGUAAGAUGCAUCAGGAUGAUCUUUUAAUUUGGGUAAACCUGUCCUAGACAGACCCAACCCCUGUGUUGAGUUCCCAAAGUCAAAUGCACGUGAUACAAACAAGCGUUCCUACUAGGGAUCCGGCAUGAGGCUGCGUUAUUCUAGGUUUAAAACCUGGGUGUAUUGUUCUAGACCUGGCUUACCCGAGCGGACAAUUGGGGCCGAAGAGGGGGCAAUGUACCGGGAGCACUAAAGUCUACCCGGCCUUGUUACUGGUCCAGCCUCGAUCUAUUUGGUAUAAUUUCUACAGAAAAAGCGGGUCACGCGAACGUGUGCACCAUUUUCAGAAGACUCAGAGGGGUGGCAUAAGAAGACAUUAAAUACAGUUCAAGUAAUAUCAAAGCGGUAAAUGACAAUUAGCACAUUAAGUCCACAAAAUACAGUAAUAUCAACAAUAAAGCCAAAUAAAAAUCGCAUUAAUAAGCUCGAAUUCUUGAACCCUGAACCAGAAGUUCUGGGUUCUUAUCCCCAGCAGAGUUGUCAGAACUGUCACAUCUCCUUUAUACCUAUACCCCGUAAGGGGUAUAAGGGGAGUUUUUUCAAUUUAAGUGACAUUAUUCGAAAUGGGAUUGUUUUAUAUUAAAAGGAGUCACGCGUACGUGUACCCAUUUUGUUUGGCGCGUCAAGAAUCAUAAUCACGCUUUAUUGAUAUUAAGAAAGUUUUGUUGAAGUGCGCGGACGCAUACCCCGAUUUAUUUUUAGAAAAAAUCAUAAUUAUGUUACGCGAACGUAUACGUAAUCACGAUGAUAGAUUAAGUCGUGCCUAAAGCAUUCUAAUAGUGUCCAUUAUUCUUCGUAAACUUUGAGAUUGUUGGGAGGUCAUCGAUUAUGGAGUACAAUAUUGGAGGAGCGUGAUUUGCAAAUUGCUUACACCAACUUCUGGAUGAAAUUCUUGCUAAAAAGAAAGACUCGGCUACUUCUGAAAAGCUUGGCAUUCUAUCAAUAAAAGAAAACAGGCCAGCUAGAUGUUCUUAUUAAGAUUGGGCUACUUAUAGCUUUUAUUAAUUGGGCCUGAUAUGGUUCAAGCUUAAUUGAGUCAAAAACUGGAAAAAAAAAUCUCAAACCCACUUUGAUGUUUUUUUUAAAAAAAAAAAAUUACAAAACACAUCUACCAAAGCUUCAUUUUUAAGUCUAACUAAAACCCAACUCCACAGAUUGCAUAGCAAGCUUAGACCAAUAUUAUUUAACAUGUAAAUUCACAAGUACUCUAAUUAAACAAGAAUCCAAUAAGGAAAAAAAAAACUAUGUAGCUAAUAAAUGAAAACCAAGCACACAGCAAGAUAACCCAUCAUUGGUUAUUAGCCAUAAUGGCCCAAUUUAAUUAUCUUACUAUCUUUCAAAGGGCAUGUUAAUGCUAAAUUAAUUGAUUGUCAAAUUUUCCGGUCAAUUCAAAUUACCAAAGUAAGAAAAAGAGCCCAAUAUCCGUCAUUAAAGCCAAUAAAAGAUUAAUAAUAACAGUUGAAGUAAAAUUCCAUGAGCAUCUUGUUGAUUCAUCCAAAUAUGCAUUUGAAAGCUUAAACAAGUAGAAGUUAUCCAUUAACUAGACAAAAAAUCACAGCGCAACAUAUGGUACUCAGUGGAUUUAAUAAGCAUUAUAUAAUUGAAAUGUACCUUUGAUAAUUUCCUUUCCAGAAUUGACUCAAACCUUCGGCAAUGUACAAAAUAAGGAGGAAAUCGACAACCCGACAAACGGCCAGAAACGAAAACGCGAACAGGACCUUAGCCGGACUCGAACGGACCUUCAGAAGAUUUCACUUGAUCUACUCCAUUUUUGGUUAAGAUCUGCAAGGCUUCGUGGAGAAAAAA